UGAGGAUAGAUUAGAUUAGAAAAGGAUAAUAGUUCAAACACCCUUAAUAUUCUAUUCAUUUUUUGUUUUUAUAUAUAAAAAUGGGAAUAAAAAAGAGAAAAACAAAAGUCACGUAGAAAAUUAGAAAGGGGAACUGGAAUUAGACACUUGAGUAGGAACCUUUUUUACGAUAAACGUUUCCAUAUCUCACGGACGGGAUUUUUCUUUUUUUUUCCCAAAAAAGGUUCCAUCUCAUGGACAAACACGGACGCAGUUUUUUUUUCAUAGAGUUUGACUUGGAGAAAUCUGAUUUGGGAUAGGAUUCUUUUCUUUCUUUUUGUCUCGCGUCUGAUCUCCAUCCUUUGUCAACUCCAACCGUUUGCUAGAAUUUUUUGCCAAAACCACAAAAAAUAGCUAGAGCAUCUCCAACAACUUGGUAAAAUUCACUUGUCAAAUCUUGAGUUAUAGCAAGUUGCUAAUUUGUUUAGCAAAAGAAAAAAGGAUGUGUCUCCAAUAAAUUGCUAUUCUCACUUGGUAAAAAUAGAGGAUGACAGAUGGGACCCGCUCACUUGGUAAAAGAAUAUGUGUCUCCAACAAGUUGCGCUCGGGAUAGCAACUUGGGAUAGCAACUUGACAAAUCUCGACAGUAGAAACCUCUGGAUAGCAACUUGGGAAAUUUAGCAAGUUGAGAUAAGGAGUUGUUGGAAGAGGAUUUUUAUGCUUUUAGCAAAUUUGGUAGGAUAGCAUGUUGAAAUACUUAAGAGCAACUCAAACUCACUUGACAAAUCGAUAGUUUUGCCAAGUCUCAAAACCAAAUGACAAGUGAAAAAAUAGACCUUCUCCAACAGUU
rnacentral:lncRNA from 1 species